UCUCUCUCUCUGUAUCGUUGCUGUGCGCUGCGCCGCUGCUGCUGCUCGCCGACGCGUGCGCGUGUGCGUGCACUGCUAGCUGCUGCGCGCCGCCGCCGCGCCGCUGCUGCUGCUCGCCGACGCGCCUGCGAGCCGCUGCCGUCGCGCCGGGCCGCCGCCGUCGCGCCGUGCUUUGUGCUGGCUGCCGUGAGAGAAGAAAGAAGCAAGCCAGGAAGAGGGAAGCAAGAAAGAAAAAAAAAAGAAGAAGAAGCAAGGAAGGAGAAGACAGGAAGAAAGAAGGAAAGAAAAGAAAAGAAAAAAGGGGAAAAUGGAGAAAAGUUGGAAAUUUCAUAAUUUUGUCGGAUUCGUCGUCAAUCCUUCGAAGGCGUACCGAUGGCGUGGAUGUUAUUCUUUUUCGGUGGUGCGACCUCACGUCACGUCUAGUGCCUGGCUUCAUCGUCGGUAAAGGCAAGUGAAUGUAUUGUAUGACUACGCUUUAAUCUAUUAUUGAGUUGCCUACAUUCUUUAAUUACAAUGCAUUCAUCUGAUCUGAAUAACUGAUUAUGAGCUGGUUACUAUGUUGUUUACUUUUUCAGAAGUUUACUCGAUGAUUGAUUUAUGAAGUACAGUAAGUACGAUAUGCCAUUCUGCAGUUGUUCAUUAUUAUUUUAUGCAAUGCUUUUUUAAGUCUCAAGCAUUUUUCGGGAAUUAUGUUGGUUAUGCUUGAAGCACGUCAUACAUAUAUAUUUCAUGCAUUGGAAGUUUGUCGUCGUCUUCUGGCCGCGACCGUACCGGUACAGUACCGUAUGUCACCCGAGGAGGGGUACGGUGCACACCCUUACGUUACCCGAGGAGGGGUAAGGGUGAGGAGAGCAUAUCAUGUGUAUGGUUAUGUCUUCUUAUGAAAUUCAAUGAAUUACUCGCAUCAAAUCUUAUUUCCUUUAGUUAGCUUGUAUAUAGAUAUAUAUGCGGUUCUGAAGGCUUAUACCAACCGAAUGUUAAAAUGUUUAAUGUUAUCGUUGGACUUGCUUAGUCAUAAUUGUUUCUCCUAGUG